GUGCUCGCUUCGGCAGCACAUGUACUAGAAAUUGGAACAAUACAGAGGCUAGCAUGGCCCGGCGCAAGGAUGACACAAAUUCGUGAAGUGUCCCACAUUAAA